rnacentral:rRNA from 1 species
CCUACGGGCGGCAGCAGUGGGGGAUAUUGGGCAAUGGGCGCAAGCCUGACCCAGUAACGCCGCGUGAAGGAAGAAGGCUUUCGGGUUGUAAACUUCUUUUGACAGGGAAGAGCAGAAGACGGUACCUGUCGAAUAAGCCACGGCUAACUACGUGCCAGCAGCCGCGGUAAUACGUAGGUGGCAAGCGUUGUCCGGAGUUACUGGGUGGAAAGGGCGUGUAGCCGGGCUGACAAGUCAGCUGUGAAAUCCGGGGGCUCAACCCCCGAACUGCAUUUGAAACUGUUGGUAGUGAGUAUCGGAGAGGCAGGCGGAAUUGCUAGUGUAGCGGUGAAAUGCGUAGAUAUUAGGAGGAACACCAGUGGCGAAGGCGGCCGGCUGGACGACAACUGACGGUGAGGCGCGAAAGCGUGGGGAGCAAACAGGAUUAGAUACCCUAGUAGUC